rnacentral:sRNA from 1 species
AAGGGAAAAUAGGUGGAAAUUCAAAAAUCAAGUGAAAAAAGGUGGUGAGUCAAUUGUUUCGGGUAAGAGACUGCACCCGAGGGCGGAAGAUAGGAGUAUUUCUACUCCUAAUACUAGGGGGUUCCGUGGACCAGCCUAUUAGAGGGGCACGGUAA